CCCCUAGACGUUCUGGGCUGCACGCGCGCUACAAUAAUACGCACAGCGAGUAUCACCGAGCGCGAAAGGGCAAGGUAAACAAUAGAAAAGGUACUGUAAUGGUUAUAGAUCCUUGUAAUUAUUGAUCUUCAACGAGGAAUUCCUAGUAAGUAUGUGUCAUCAUCACGCACUGAUUACGUCCCUGCCCUUUGUACACACCGCCCGUCGCUCCUACCGAUUGGGUGAGCCGAUGAAACUCUCGGAUGUAGGCUAUUCAUAGCCCGCAGAAGAGAUUUGAAUCGUAGCGCUUAGAGGAAGGAGAAGUCGUAACA
rnacentral:rRNA from 1 species